UGGGGACACAAGGGUUGGCCGAGCCACACUCGGGCCCAUGUGCAGUCCAUGUGGAUUCUAGUACCCACUAAAGAAUUAGUGUAAUUCUUCGAAUUGAAGGUAGAGGCUAUCUAUUCGAAUAAAAUAGUGAGAGAACUUUUAGACUAAAAUUCAUAUCUUUAGGCUUAAUCAAUUCAUAUACUAAAUAAGUUUUGAUUUUUCUUUUGCAGU
rnacentral:lncRNA from 1 species